UCCAGACACUGUAUGAAAAAAAGCAUUGUAAAACUUUUUGUUCUGUUAGCUGAUGCAUGUAGCCUCCACGCUUGCUUGAUGUAUCACGACCCUUUCACGUGGACCCCUUAAAGUUGUAAGCCUUUAAAAAGGCCAAGAAUUUCUUUUUCGGGGAGCUCAGCUCUUAAGACGCGAGUCUGCUGAUGCUCCCGGCCAAAUAAAAACCUCUUCCUUCUUUAAUCCAGUGUCUGAGGAGUUUUGUCUGUGGCUCGUCCUGUUACAUUUCUUGGUUCCCUGACCGGGAAGCGAGGUGAUUAAGGGAUGGUCCAGGCAGCCCCUUAGUUAGCUUAUGUCUGCCCUGUAGAGCAUCCCUGCAGGGGACUCUGGCCAGCUUGAGCAACACGGAUCCUAAGAGCGCUCCCGGGUAGGCAUUUGCCCCGGUUGAACACCUCACCAGAGCAGCGCACAGCAGGCCCCCGCGGAGGAUCAACGCAGUGGCUGAACACCGGGAAGGAACUGGCACUUUAAGUCUGGACAUCUGAAACUUGACCUGACCUCCAGGACCAGCCUUGGGCAUCAGUAAACUGGGAGCUAUACGUGGACGGGAACAGCUUCAUCAACCCACAAGGAGAGAGAUGUGCAGAAUAUGCGGUGGUAACCCUGGACACUGUCGUUAAGCUGAGCUGAUUGCUUUAAUUCAGUCCUUAGAACUCAGUGAAGUUGCAGGUGUUGUGUCUUGGAUCCAUCACAGUCAGCUAACACUGGCAGCUCAGGACAAGUGGACCAGCCAGCAGGAUGCAGAUCACCCAACCUGGCUGAUCCUGAGACGAGACCAAGCUGCUGCUGAGGACGACAGCCCUGCUCUGGUCACUCCGGAGGCUGACCAGUCUACGCACGGCCGAAGCUUGAGGACUCAUCGAGCAAGUAAAUGUAGUUAAAAAUCUUAAGACUAAUAGUUUUCCUGUAAUACUAACUGUUUUCCUAUUGUUCGGUCGCUGUAUUCAACCUUUUUCCCAGGUAAGGACCUCUUUUGUCCUUGCUGGAUACGAAUAUGCUGUACAUUGUUUUGUUGUUGUUAACCCCCAUAACCAUGUUAGAAGAAACACCUAUAUAAGGUGUCCCCACUGUACACAUACUACUUAGGAAACCCAGACCUGUCCAGCCCAGUAACAAUUCUGAGUCUUUCAGUCAUUCUUUAAACAUAUAAACCAGAAGUUACCAGAACCUCCUCCUUUAGCAAAAACAGAAAAAACCUAUUUGCUCAGCUGGCUGAAAACAUUGCUAGCUGCCUAGAUGUUUCUUCAUGUUAUGUUUAUAAAAAGGCUAACAUAAGAGACCAAUGGCCUUGAGAAGCAAAAGAGUUAAUGCCUCAAGAUAACUUUAACUAGCUCUUUCCCCAAACAGAUGCCACAAGUUCAAGCAUCUGGCUCUUAAAACUUCUAUUAUUAAAAAAUACCAUGUUACUCACUAGGAAAAAGCUUUUAAGACACAGUAAAAAGAACUAACCUGCUUAAGGCAUGACAAAGUUGGUACAUGUGCAUAUACAGGUUUAACACAGGUCUGAUCCUAGGUGUUCAUUUAGAACAUAGUUUCCAGCUGUAAGAAAAUUUAAAACCCUCAUUGUAAGUGUAUUACUAGUAAUAGGAACUUGCUUGCUGCUCCCCUGUAUAUUAUAUUUGCUCCUUCAAAUGAUAAAAGGUUUUGUAGCUACCAUGGUUCAGCAGAAAACUUCAACACAAGUAUAUUACAUAAAAUACUAUCACUCUGUCUCACAAAAAGACUCAAAAAGUAAAAAUAAAAGAACUCCCACUGAUUAGUGAAAAUUCUCAAAGGGGGAGAUAAGGAAGGAGACCACUACUACUCCUGCUGCCCUCCUCUCCCCACCUUGCCUAGUUCGCAAGACAGGAGGAGAGAAAAACAAAAAGUUGGAAAAAAAACAAAAGUAAGAUAAACAGCCAGACAACCUUGGCACCACCACCCGGCCUUAGGAGUUAAAAAAAGUAAUAAUGAUAACCUCAACCCCUGACCUAAACUACUUGUGUUGUCUGUAAAUUUCAGACACUGUAUGAAAAAAAGCAUUGUAAAACUUUUUGUUCUGUUAGCUGAUGCAUAUAGCCCCCAGUCAUGUUUCCCAUGCUUGCUUGAUGUACCACGACCCUUACACGUGGACCCCUUAAAGUUGUAAACCUUUAAAAAGGCCAAGAAUUUCUUUUUCGGGGAGCUCGGCUCUUAAGACACGAGUCUGACAAUGCUCCUGGCCGAAUAAAAACCUCUUCCUUCUUUAAUUCAGUGUCUGAGGAGUUUUGUCUGUGGCU
rnacentral:lncRNA from 1 species